rnacentral:rRNA from 1 species
AACGAACGCUGGCGGCAUGCCUAACACAUGCAAGUCGAACGAGACCUUCGGGUCUAGUUGCGGACGGGGGCUUAACGCGUGGUAAGCUACCCGUAGGUUCGGUAUAACUCCCCGAAAGGUGUGCUAAGACCAGUUAGUGUCUUCGGGCCAAAGAUUUAUCGCCGUUGGCUGGGCGCUCGUUGGAUUAGCUAGUUGGGAGUGUAAAAGCCUACCAAGGCCACGAUCCAUAGCUGGUCUGAGAGGAUGGUUAGCCACACUGGGACUGAGACACGGCCCAGACUCGUAGGGAAGGCAGCAGUAGGGAGUAUUAGACACUGGGCGCAGGCCUAGUCAAGCAAUGCCGCGUGAGUGAGGAAGGCCUUAGUGUUGUAAUGCUCUUUUACACGAGAUGUUAAUGACAGUAACGGGUGAAUAAGCUCCGGCUAACUCCGUG